rnacentral:rRNA from 1 species
AUUGAACGCUGGCGGCAUGCUUUACACAUGCAAGUCGAACGGUAACAGGCUUUCGGGUGCUGACGAGUGGCGAACGGGUGAGUAAUGCAUCGGAACGUGCCCAGAGGUGGGGGAUAACGCAGCGAAAGCUGUGCUAAUACCGCAUGUGAUCUGAGGAUGAAGGCGGGGGACCACGCAGCAAUGUUUGGCCUCGCGCCUCUGGAGCGGCCGAUGUCAGAUUAGGUAGUUGGUGGGGUAAAGGCCUACCAAGCCGACGAUCUGUAGCUGGUCUGAGAGGACGACCAGCCACACUGGGACUGAGACACGGCCCAGACUCCUACGGGAGGCAGCAGUGGGGAAUUUUGGACAAUGGGCGCAAGCCUGAUCCAGCAAUGCCGCGUGCGGGAAGAAGGCCUUCGGGUUGUAAACCGCUUUUGUACGGAACGAAAAGGCUCUGGCUAAUACCUGGGGCUGAUGACGGUACCGUAAGAAUAAGCACCGGCUAACUACGUG